rnacentral:rRNA from 1 species
UGGGGAAUAUUGGACAAUGGGGGCAACCCUGAUCCAGCAAUGCCGCGUGUGUGAAGAAGGUCUUCGGAUUGUAAAGCACUUUCGACGGGGACGAUGAUGACGGUACCCGUAGAAGAAGCCCCGGCUAACUUCGUGCCAGCAGCCGCGGUAAUACGAAGGGGGCUAGCGUUGCUCGGAAUGACUGGGCGUAAAGGGCGUGUAGGCGGUUUACACAGUCAGAUGUGAAAUCCCCGGGCUUAACCUGGGAGCUGCAUUUGAUACGUGUAGACUAGAGUGUGGGAGAGGGUUGUGGAAUUCCCAGUGUAGAGGUGAAAUUCGUAGAUAUUGGGAAGAACACCGGUGGCGAAGCGGCAACCUGGCUCAUGACUGACGCUGAGGCGCGAAAGCGUGGGGAGCAAACAGGUUAGAUACCCUGGUAGUCCACGCUGU